rnacentral:lncRNA from 1 species
GCUGGGACAGAGCACCCGGACCCGCGGCAGCGGCGGCAGCGGCGCUCCCCACCCUCCACCGCAGCACUCAUCGAGCCAGGAAACCACCAAGCCACGGGCCCUCGGGAAGAGGAGAGGGAGCAAACAGACACCAGCAAAGCAUUCCUGUAACACGAUGUGCUACACAAGUUCCCAGUAGCGACAGACGCCUAAAGGAGCCUGUUUGUGUGCUGUGUGGCCACGUUCUGCUGUGACUGGAUCUUGUCUUCUGCCUGGCUCCUCGAUUUCCGUCCGGCUGGAUUUGGGGACAACACUGCCUGGCGCAGACAGAUCAAAUGACACUUCAAAGAAGCAUAAAAUGAACAGACUAUUCAAACAAAGGUAAUUUACAUUUUUUUAUUUGAUAAAACCUGACUGAUGUACAAAACGAAAAUAGAAUAUUGUUUACUGGAAAACAGGUCUACAAUCUCUCACACAUCUUCUCUUGCAACAGAUAGAAUUCCAGAAACAUCUAAGUUCCUCUGUGUACAGUUAUUUCUCCUGUAGGAGCCUUUGUAUGGAUGUAAUACACACAUAUAUGUAUAUGCAUAGAGCAUGACAUAAAUAAAACCUGCAAUAGCCUAUAAGAAAGAAGCUCCUAUUUAGAGGAAAGGGUAAGAUACUUUUAUUAUAAUGAAAGCCAGUUCACUUCAUCACUUGGACCAUGGACACUAAUGUAAAUAAAAUGGCUUAAAAAAUAAGACAAUAGUAGUAUUGACUGUAGACUACAAUUUGCACAUUUGUAAUUCUUAUAAAUGAAAUAUUUAAAAUGAUUUGGUGUUGGGCCAGUUCCUUAUGCAUUCUGCAUUCAUGUGUAUAGGAUUCAAAGACGUUCCAAAUAUUGAUCAUAAACCAAGUGUAUAUGAAUUAAUUAAAUAGCAUAUUUCUGGCCCAAAUAUGAGGAAAACCAUAACUUUUUACUGUAAAUCAGGAGAGAUUGUUUUAUCCCCAAAUAAACUAGGAUGUUUCAAGUCAUGUUUCAGCAAUUUGGAGACCUACAAACUAUCUGCAAGCAAGCACAACAACCAUACUCUAAUCUACUAGAUAGUAGUGAGAAUUUAGUGCUUGAAUUCAGGCUGCUUGAAUUCAGUAUAUCCUUCUCUAUGCUGAUUUUCAAGUAGAUAUUCUGUAGCUCAGCUAGAUAAUCUUUUAAAAGCAAAAAAAAAA